rnacentral:rRNA from 1 species
GACGAACGCUGGCGGCGUGCUUAACACAUGCAAGUCGAACGGAAAGGCCCUGCUUUUGUGGGGUGCUCGAGUGGCGAACGGGUGAGUAACACGUGAGUAACCUGCUCUUGACUUUGGGAUAACUUCAGGAAACUGGGGCUAAUAUCGGAUAGGAGCUCCUGCUGCAUGGUGGGGGUUGGAAAGUUUCGGCGGUUGGGGAUGGACUCGCGGCUUAUCAGCUUGCUGGUGGGGUAGUGGCUUACCAAGGCUUUGACGGGUAGCCGGCCUGGGAGGGUGACCGGCCACAUUGGGACUACGAUACGGACCAGACUCCUACGGGAGACAGAAGUGGGAAAUAUUGCACAGUGGGCGGGAGCCUGAUGCAGCAGCGCCGCGUGCGGGAUGACGGCCUUCGGGUUAUAAACCGCUUUCGCCUGUGACGAAGCGUGAGUGACGGUAAUGGGUAAAGAAGCACCGGCUAACUACGUG